UCCGUGCCCGUGUCCGUGCCCACGUCCCGCCUCCGCCCGGGAACAGGGUCCGGGUGCCGGCCCUGCGGCCGGGCUGCCCCAUCUCUGUCCCCGAGGGCGGUGCCUCCUCGUCCCGAGAGGCUGUGGGUAAUGGGAGAGAGGCUGUUUUCCUCGGCGGAAGAACACGGAGGGGCUCUACAACAACCGUGAGGGGAUUUACAGCAUCCCUACCCCAGAAGAACAAAACUACUUGGAGGGAAAGGAUAUCUGUCAAAAAUAGUGUGACCAAGGAGCCCAUGGCACCUGUGCAGAUUCUUUUAACUGGAUGUUGCAAAAAAUAAUUGAAGAACAGAAUAUAUUUUCGUAAUUGAAAGAUCUGGCUGAAGACUUGAGAUUAUUCCAACCAUGCACAGUGUGAGCAGCUCAGAGACUCCCUGGCUAAAAAUAAUGACACAUCUGAGACCUGUGAAAGAACCUGAUCAGCCACGGCCUUGGCAGGUAACACCUGACCAAAGCCGAGACAUCAUUGCUUCUGUUCAGUGCAUCUUGGACAGAGAAAAUUGUUUUGUGAGGGAGGUGGACAGAUACCUGAGGCACAAUGAUUUCCUAAAUCUGAGAAAGAAGGAGAUCGUGUACAAGGAAUGGCUUAAGGAUGUUUUAGAGCCGGUGCUGCAGAAAAUUGAGGACGAAAUGGGCAGCCAGUCAAUCGAAGAAAUGCAGAAAAGGAAACAAGAACAAUUGUCUCAAUAUUUAAACUACUGUAACAAGAAGGGCUACGUGUUUUUGGACUAUUUUGACCCAUCAGAGUAUGAUCCAUUCUCCCAGAAGACGUGCACAGACUGCUGGAAGGUGUGAGAAUGAAAGUCAUCAAUCACCACAAUGACAGCGAGAGCCAAUGAUGUCACCUGUCCCCCAGCUGACCAGAGCAGCAAGCACAGCCAUCAGAAGGUACACUUUAGGUUACAUCUCCUGCCAAAGCAAGUGGUAACAGGCCAGGUCUUCUGGCAAGCUGCAAUAAACUUACUGUCUUGAACGUGGUUCUGAAAUGUUGUUACUCAGCAGCCAAAGAAAUGUCUGGGAUGCUGCUUCUGUUGUUGCCAGCUCCAGUUCAUGCUCUACAAGCCAAAAUCUGCUGUUUUAGAUUUAACUUAGGCUCAGCUCAACAAAAACAGUGCUGGUGUUCUCUCCUGAACACAGUGUACAAGCAGUAAAUCAAACUUUUAACAUACAUUCUGAGAAAGCAGGAAAUAAGUAGGGGAGGGGAGAUGGGAAGUGCUUUUCAGAGAGUCUGUGCUGAGCAGCAGCUGAGCCAGUGCCCCACAAACCAGUCUCUCUCCCGUUCCAGUGUGGUCCCAUCUCCCCCCUGGUCUGGCUGCACAGCAACUCUGGUCUCAAAGCCUGGAAAGAGAAAAACAGAAUUUCCUCUAUUCUCCAAUCACUGUACAGACAUAAUCUCUCAAGAGUUGCCAAUAUUGAGUUUUAUUUAGGAUUAGAAAUACUGAACCACAGAAAACUGUUAAAAGUAACAGAGGUUGACUCAGUAAGGAGGGUGCACAGAUGGUGACUGCAUGGGAAACUGCCAGAGUUCAGGAGGAAUUGCUGCACCCGCGGAAAGGGCUGCUCAAGGAGGCAGUAAAAUGGUUACAAUGUAUCAAACAUUCUAUAAACAAACUUUUUUUUUUUUUAACCAUCCCUGAUUUGGUGCCAAGAGAAAGCUUUUGCUUUCAACCAGCUCUUUUUACAGGUUUGUGUUGGGGUGUAGUUCCCCCCAAGCAAACUUUUUAAACUUGUAAUAAACAUUUCUUGAACGAA